rnacentral:rRNA from 1 species
UGGGGAAUAUUGCACAAUGGAGGGAACUCUGAUGCAGCGACGCCGCGUGAACGAAGAAGGCUUUCGAGUCGUAAAGUUCUUUUAUAUGGGAAGAUAAUGACGGUACCAUAAGAAAAAGCCCCGGCUAACUACGUGCCAGCAGCCGCGGUAAUACGUAGGGGGCUAGCGUUGUCCGGAAUCACUGGGCGUAAAGGGUUCGCAGGCGGAAAUGCAAGUCAGGUGUAAAAGGCAGUAGCUUAACUACUGUAAGCAUUUGAAACUGCAUAUCUUGAGAAGAGUAGAGGUAAGUGGAAUUUUUAGUGUAGCGGUGAAAUGCGUAGAUAUUAAAAAGAAUACCGGUGGCGAAGGCGACUAACUGGGCUCAUUCUGACGCUGAGAAAAGAAAGCGUGGGUAGCAAACAGG